rnacentral:rRNA from 1 species
CGCUGAAGGCAUCUAAGCGUGAAGCCAACCUCAAGAUGAGAUAUCUCUUAAGACCCCUUGAAGACUACAAGGUUGAUAGGCUCUGGGUGUAAGCAUGGUAACAUGCUCAGCUGAGGAGUACUAAUAGGUCGUGAGCUUUUCCUAA